rnacentral:misc_RNA from 1 species
AAAGAGGAAAUAAUAUGAUGGGUUUUUAUUUACAAUCUAGGUUGCCUGUGGAUUGAACCACACCCUUUGUGUAUCAGCUGAUGGAACCAAUGUUUGGGCAUUUGGGGAUGGUGACUUUGGAAAUUAGGUCAAGGUAACACUGUUGGAAAGCAUCUACCCACCAAGAUAAAGGCACUCCAGGGACAUGUAAUAAAGAAAGUGGCAUGUGGAACUCAGUUCUCUGUUGCUCUCAGCAAGUACGGAAAAGUCUUCACAUGGGGGCAAGAGAGGCUAAUAGGGCAACCCGACACAAGAGGAGGGAGUAACUGUCAGCCCCAGGAGGUUGCCUCCCUUUCUGGCUACUUCAUUGAGGAUGUAGUCUGUGGGGCAGAACACACCCUAGUCCUGACCAGUGACGGUGAUGUUUGGGGAUGGGGCAGCAACAGUGAGGGACAGCUUGGCCUGGGACACACCAACUCCCCUGUCAGAGAGCCCCAGCUGGUGCCAUGUCUGACCGGAAAAAAUAUCAGACAGAUAUCUGCUGGUAGGACCCACAGUGCUGCCUGGACUACCCCAUGCCCUCCCCAGAGGAUCCCGGGGGUGCCGGUCCCUCUACAGUUAGGGACCCCCGAUAAGAUCCCAGCUAGCUGCAGUACCCUGAGGGAAUGUCCGAUAGAGGACAUUCAAGGUCGUCUGAAACUGCUGCAUCACUUCUCCGAUCUCAUCUACUCCUCCUGGAGACUCUUACCCUUGACAACCAUUGCUCAGGGUGAGAUGCCUGGUUAUGCCUGUGGGAUGUCAGGUAUAGUGGAUGGAAGAUUGCGACCUUUGCUUUCCCCACGAGUCUUCUCUCUACCCAUGGUCAGAGCUAUCGGUAAAACUAUGGUACAGGGGAAGAACUAUGGGCCCCCAAUCACUGUCAAAAGGCUCUCCACAAGAGGAAAGAAGUGCAAGCCAGUGUUCACCCAAAUAGGUCAGCAGGUCAUCAAGUUGAGAGCUGAGGACCUGAGGCUCCCAGCCCGUGCCUGGAAGGUCAAACUGAUCGGAGAGGGGGCGGACGAUGCUGGGGGAGUGUUCGAUGAUACCAUCACAGAAAUGUGUCAGGAGCUAGAAACUGGAGUUGUUCCUUUCUUUAUUCCUACCCCAAAUGCCAGAAAUGAAUCCGGAAAUAACAGAGACAGGUUUCUAUUGAACCCAGCGUGUUCUGGAGAAGAUGACUUUGCAAUGUUUAAGUUCCUGGGGGUACUGUUUGGGGUGGCCAUAAGAACAAAGAAACCCCUGGAUCUCCACCUGGCACCCAGUGUGUGGAAACUCCUGGUCGGAAUUUCCCUGAGAUUGGACGACAUUGAAGAGACUGACCAUAUUUACAUUCAAAGCUUGAGAGGAAUAUUGGAUAUACAUGAAAGUGGUGUUAAUGAAACUAAUUUCCAUGAGUUCAUUCCGCUGGACUGCUUUGAGGGACAGAGUGCUGAUGGCAGUUUGGUUCCUGUCAUUCCAGGGGGAGGAACUCUUCAGCUCAACUUCAAUAAUCGCCGCGAGUAUGUGGAGGCCGUGCUGAAUUACAGGCUGCAGGAAAUGAACCGACAGGCUGCUGCUGUGCGUGAAGGCAUGUCCUGGAUUAUCCCGGUCCCACUUCUGACUUUGUUGACCCCUAAAAACCUGGAACAGCUGGUCUGUGGGAUGGAGGAAAUGUCAGUAGAUGUCCUGAGGAAGGUGGUCAGAUACCGGGGAAUUGAUGAGAAGAAUGAAGUAGUCUGUUGGUUUUGGGAGGUUCUGGAUUCGUUCAGCAAUGAGGAGAGGAUACAGUUCCUUAGAUUUGUCUCUGGAAGAACUCGUCUGCCUGCUAACCCCUCAGAUAUAUCCCAGAGAUUUCAGAUAAUGAAUUCAGACAGGGGUGCAAGCUGCUUGCCAACGUCUCAAACUUGCUUCUUCCAACUCCGCCUUCCAAAUUAUCCAAGUAAGGAAAUUCUAGCAGAAAAAUUACGGUAUGCCAUAUUCAACUGUCGAUCCAUAGACAUGGAUAAUUACAUGCUAACUAGAAACGCCGAAAAUCAGGGGAUGUCUGACGAAGAUACCGAUGAGGAGCUUACCUUCCUGUUCCAGCCGUUAUGAUAGCUGGAAGACGUAAUGGAUGAGAUAGAGGAAGAUGAACCCAGGGACAACCAUUAUAACUCCAAGAUUACACGACUGAAUUGUAACCCAACAGACAUUUUUGGCCGGCAUUAUUUGUGUCCAACAACAAGACCAGCUAACCUGGACAGGUGUUUAGGGAACUGGUCAGUAGCCCUCAGCGGGCAUUGAUAGUUAUAACCUCGUGAUUCAGUGACUUACAAAUAGUCAAUGUGAGUGACAUAAGUGAGAUAAUAUCACGUUCGACUUUCUUUUCCUUUUAAUUUUAAGUUAUUUUUUUUCUUUGAGUGUCUGUGAUACUUGUUGUUAAUUUGUUAGUUUGCUUCAGCAUUAAAUUUUCCUCAUGCCUGAC